GUAUUUUAAAAACUCUGAGCACAGCAUAUGAAGAUACAGUCUUGGAAUGGGAGAUCCCAAAGGAGGAUCUGCGGGGAUGAGGCCCUGGCUACGGACCCUUGAAUGUACAGAAGGAGAGAGAAGGAACAGUUUGCAGAGGAAGAUGUUGAGAAAUCAGAAGGAAAGCUGGGGAUGUGCAGAUGAGUUACACUUUCUUCCCUCUACGUCCUUCAGUGUUUCUGCAUGAAUUCACCCUCCCUUUGUCUAGUGCCGGUAAG
rnacentral:lncRNA from 1 species